rnacentral:rRNA from 1 species
UACGGGGGGAGCAAGCGUUGUUCGGAUUUACUGGGCGUAAAGGGCGCGUAGGCGGUCAGCACAAGUCAGUUGUGAAAUCUCCGGGCUUAACUCGGAAAGGUCAACUGAUACUGUGCGACUAGAGUGCAGAAGGGGCAACUGGAAUUCUCGGUGUAGCGGAUGAAAUGCGUAGAUAUCAGGAGGAACACCGAUGGCGAAGGCAGCUCGGCUGGGACGGUACUGACGCUGAGACGCGAAAGCGUGGGGAGCGAACAGG